AGGGAUUACCUCAGUAACGGCGAGUGAAGCGGUAACAGCUCAAAUUUGAAAUCUGGCCCUUUCAGGGUCCGAGUUGUAAUUUGUAGAAGAUGCUUUGGGUGUGGCUCCGGUCUAAGUUCCUUGGAACAGGACGUCAUAGAGGGUGAGAAUCCCGUAUGUGACUGGCUGCCUCCGCCCGUGUAAAGCUCUUUCGACGAGUCGAGUUGUUUGGGAAUGCAGCUCAAAAUGGGUGGUAAAUUUCAUCUAAAGCUAAAUAUUGGCCAGAGACCGAUAGCGCACAAGUAGAGUGAUCGAAAGAUGAAAAGCACUUUGGAAAGAGAGUUAAACAGUACGUGAAAUUGUUGAAAGGGAAGCGCUUGCAAUCAGACUUGCGCGCGGUCGAUCAUCCGGGGUUCUCCCCGGUGCACUCGGCCGCGCUCAGGCCAGCAUCGGUUUUGGUGGUGGGAUAAAGGCCUUGGGAAUGUGGCUCCUCUCGGGGAGUGUUAUAGCCCUCGGUGCAAUGCCGCCUACCGGGACCGAGGACCGCGCUUCGGCUAGGAUGCUGGCGUAAUGGUUGCAAGCGACCCGUCUUGAAACACGGACCAAGGAGUCUAACAUUUAUGCGAGUGUUUGGGUGUUAAACCCAUACGCGGAAUGAAAGUGAACGGAGGUGAGAACCCUUAAGGGUGCAUCAUCGACCGAUCCUGAUGUCUUCGGAUGGAUUUGAGUAAGAGCAUAACUGUUGGGACCCGAAAGAUGGUGAACUAUGCCUGAAUAGGGUGAAGCCAGAGGAAACUCUGGUGGAGGCUCGCAGCGGUUCUGACGUGCAAAUCGAUCGUCAAAUUUGGGUAUAGGGGCGAAAGACUA
rnacentral:rRNA from 1 species